GACGAACGCUGGCGGCGUGCUUAACACAUGCAAGUCGAACGGAAAGGCCCCUUCGGGGGUACUCGAGUGGCGAACAGGUGCGUAACACGUGAGUAACCUGCCCUUGACUUCGGGAUAACUUCAGGAAACUGGGGCUAAUACCGGAUAGGAAUCCUUGCUGCAUGGUGGGGGUUGGAAAGCUUCGGCGGUUUUGGAUGGACUCGCGGCUUAUCAGCUUGUUGGUGGGGUAGUGGCUUACCAAGGCUUUGACGGGUAGCCGGCCUGAGAGGGCGACCGGCCACAUUGGGACUGAGAUGCGGCCCAGACUCCUACGGGAGGCAGCAGUGGGGAAUAUUGAACAAGGGGCGGAAGCCUGAUGCAGCAACGCCGCGUGCGGGAUGACGGCCUUCGGGUUGUAAACCGCUUUCAGCAGGGGCGAAGCUUGUGGUGACGGUACCUGCAGAAGAAGCACCGGCUAACUACGUG
rnacentral:rRNA from 1 species